GACGAACGCUGGCGGCGUGCUUAACACAUGCAAGUCGAGCGGUAAGGCCCUUUCGGGGGGUACACGAGCGGCGAACGGGUGAGUAACACGUGGGUGACCUGCCCUCAGCUCUGGGAUAAGCCCUGGGAAACCGGGUCUAAUACUGGAUAUGACUCCAUGACGCAUGUUGUGGGGUGGAAAGCCUUGUGCGGCUGAGGAUGGGCCCGNGGCCUAUCAGCUUGUUGGUGGGNGAUGGCCUACCAAGGCGACGACGGGUAGCCGGCCUGAGAGGCGACCGGCCACACUGGGACUGAGACACGGCCCAGACUCCUACGGGAGGCAGCAGUGGGGAAUCUU
rnacentral:rRNA from 1 species